UACGGAGGGUGCAAGCGUUGUCCGGAAUCACUGGGCGUAAAGGGCGCGUAGGCGGCUCAUGAAGGCUGUGGUGAAAGUCCGGGGCUCAACCUCGGAUCGGCCGUGGCGACUCGUGGGCUGGAGCACUGUAGAGGCGGGUGGAAUUCCGGGUGUAGCGGUGAAAUGCGUUGAUAUCUAGGGGAACACCAAAAGCGAAGGCAGGUGGCUGGACCGUUUCUGACGCUGAAACACGAAAGCGUGGGUAGCGAAUGGG
rnacentral:rRNA from 1 species